CCUACGGGGAGCAGGAGUGAGGAAUAUUGGUCAAUGGCCGGAAGGCUGAACCAGCCAUGCCGCGUGAAGGUCAGUGCCCUAUGGGCGUUAAACUUCUUUUGUGCGGGAGCAAUAAUGGUCACGUGUGGCCAGACGAGAGUACCGUACGACUAAGCAUCGGCUAACUCCGUGCCAGCAGCCGCGGUAAUACGGGGGAUGCAAGCGUUAUCCGGAUUUAUUGGGGUUAAAGGGUGCGUAGGCUGUGAGGUAAGUCAGCGGUGAAAUGCCCCCGCUCAACGGGGUGAAGUGCCAUUGAUACUGCCUUGCUGGAAUGCGGAUGCCGUGGGAGGAAUGUGUGGUGUAGCGGUGAAAUGCAUAGAUAUCACACAGAACACCGAUUGCGAAGGCAUCUCACGAAUCCGCGAUUGACGCUGAUGCACGAAAGCGUGGGUAUCAAACAGGAUUAGAUACCCCGGUAGUC
rnacentral:rRNA from 1 species